CCGCAACGAGCGCAACCCCUGUCCUUUGUUGCCAGCACGUAAUGGUGGGAACUCAAGGGAGACUGCCGGUGAUAAACCGGAGGAAGGGGGGGAUGACGUCAAGUCAUCAUGGCCCUUACGGCCAGGGCUACACACGUGCUACAAUGGCGCGUACAGAGGGCUGCAAGCUAGCGAUAGUGAGCGAAUCCCAAAAAGCGCGUCGUAGUCCGGAUCGGAGUCUGCAACUCGACUCCGUGAAGUCGGAAUCGCUAGUAAUCGCA
rnacentral:rRNA from 1 species